rnacentral:rRNA from 1 species
UAGGCUGCAACUCGCCUACACGAAGCUGGAAUCGCUAGUAAUCGCGGAUCAGCACGCCGCGGUGAAUACGUUCCCGGGUCUUGUACACACCGCCCGUCACACCAUGAGAGUCUGUAACACCCAAGGCCGGUGGGAUAACCUUUAUAGGAGUCAGCCGUCUAAGGUAGGACAGAUGAUUAGGGUGAAGUCGUAACAAGGUAGC